rnacentral:rRNA from 1 species
UCGAGCGACAGAUAAGGAGCUUGCUCCUUUGACGUUAGCGGCGGACGGGUGAGUAACACGUGGGUAACCUACCUAUAAGACUGGGAUAACUUCGGGAAACCGGAGCUAAUACCGGAUAACAUUUGGAACCGCAUGGUUCUAAAGUGAAAGAUGGUUUUGCUAUCACUUAUAGAUGGACCCGCGCCGUAUUAGCUAGUUGGUAAGGUAACGGCUUACCAAGGCGACGAUACGUAGCCGACCUGAGAGGGUGAUCGGCCACACUGGAACUGAGACACGGUCCAGACUCCUACGGGAGGCAGCAGUAGGGAAUCUUCCGCAAUGGGCGAAAGCCUGACGGAGCAACGCCGCGUGAGUGAUGAAGGGUUUCGGCUCGUAAAACUCUGUUAUUAGGGAAGAACAAAUGUGUAAGUAACUGUGCACGUCUUGACGGUACCUAAUCAGAAAGCCACGGCUAACUACGUGCCAGCAGCCGCGGUAAUACGUAGGUGGCAAGCGUUAUCCGGAAUUAUUGGGCGUAAAGCGCGCGUAGGCGGUUUCUUAAGUCUGAUGUGAAAGCCCACGGCUCAACCGUGGAGGGUCAUUGGAAACUGGGAAACUUGAGUGCAGAAGAGGAAAGUGGAAUUCCAUGUGUAGCGGUGAAAUGCGCAGAGAUAUGGAGGAACACCAGUGGCGAAGGCGACUUUCUGGUCUGUAACUGACGCUGAUGUGCGAAAGCGUGGGGAUCAAACAGGAUUAGAUACCCUGGUAGUCCACGCCGUAAACGAUGAGUGCUAAGUGUUAGGGGGUUUCCGCCCCUUAGUGCUGCAGCUAACGCAUUAAGCACUCCGCCUGGGGAGUACGACCGCAAGGUUGAAACUCAAAGGAAUUGACGGGGACCCGCACAAGCGGUGGAGCAUGUGGUUUAAUUCGAAGCAACGCGAAGAACCUUACCAAAUCUUGACAUCCUUUGAAAACUCUAGAGAUAGAGCUUUCCCCUUCGGGGGACAAAGUGACAGGUGGUGCAUGGUUGUCGUCAGCUCGUGUCGUGAGAUGUUGGGUUAAGUCCCGCAACGAGCGCAACCCUUAAGCUUAGUUGCCAUCAUUAAGUUGGGCACUCUAGGUUGACUGCCGGUGACAAACCGGAGGAAGGUGGGGAUGACGUCAAAUCAUCAUGCCCCUUAUGAUUUGGGCUACACACGUGCUACAAUGGACAAUACAAAGGGCAGCUAAACCGCGAGGUCAUGCAAAUCCCAUAAAGUUGUUCUCAGUUCGGAUUGUAGUCUGCAACUCGACUACAUGAAGCUGGAAUCGCUAGUAAUCGUAGAUCAGCAUGCUACGGUGAAUACGUUCCCGGGUCUUGUACACACCGCCCGUCACACCACGAGAGUUUGUAACACCCGAAGCCGGUGGAGUAACCAUUUAUGG